rnacentral:rRNA from 1 species
UGCAGCCAUGCCGCGUGAGUGAAGAAGGCCUUAGGGUUGUAAAGCACUUUCGCCGAGGAGGAAGGCAUCAUACUUAAUACGUGUGGUGAUUGACGUUACUCGCAAAAAAAGCACCGGCUAACUCCGUGCCAGCAGCCGCGGUAAUACGGAGGGUGCAAGCGUUAAUCGGAAUUACUGGGCGUAAAGCGCACGCAGGCGGUUUGGUAAGUCGGAUGUGAAAUCCCCGCGCUCAACGUGGGAACUGCAUUUGAAACUGGCCAGCUGGAGUCUUGUAAAGGGGGGUAAAAUUCCCGGUGUACCGGUAAAAUGCGUAAAGAUCUGGAGAAAUACCGGUGGCAAAGGCAGCCCCCGGGACGAAGACUGACGCUAAGGUGCGAAAGCUUGGGAAGCAAACAGGAUAAAAUACCCUGGUAGCCCACCCUGAAAACAAUAACGACUUGGAGGUUGGGCCCUUAAGGCCUGGGUGCCGAAGCUAACGCGUUAAGUCGACCGCCUGGGGAGUACGGCCGCAAGGUUGAAACUCAAAUGAAUUGACGGGGACCCGCACAAGCGGUGGAGCAUGUGGUUUAAUUCGAUGCAACGCGAAGAACCUUACCUAGUCUUGACAUCC